UACGUAGGGUGCAAGCGUUGUCCGGAAUUAUUGGGCGUAAAGAGCUUGUAGGCGGUUUGUCGCGUCUGCUGUGAAAUUUCGGGGCUCAACCCCGAACUUGCAGUGGGUACGGGCAGACUAGAGUGUGGUAAGGGAGACUGGAAUUCCUGGUGUAGCGGUGAAAUGCGCAGAUAUCAGGAGGAACACCGAUGGCGAAGGCGGAUCUCUGGGCCUUACCUGACGCUGAGGCGCGAAAGCUAGGGGAGCGAACAGG
rnacentral:rRNA from 1 species